rnacentral:rRNA from 1 species
ACGCUCGACACCUACGGGAGGCAGCAGUUGGGAAUAUUGGACAAUGGAGGGAACUCUGAUCCAGUGACGCCGCGUGAAGGAAGAAGGUCUUCGGAUUGUAAACUUAUUUUAUCAGGGAAGAAAGAAAUGACAGUACCUGAAGAAGAAGGACCGGCUAACUACGUGCCUGCAGCCGCGGUAAUCUGAGCGGGCUGGCAAGGC